CUUAGUGGCAGACGGGUGAGUAACAUGUGGGUAUCUACCCUUUGGCCUGGAAUAACACGAGGAAACUUGUGCUAAUACCGGAUAAGUCUUUACGGAGAAAGCUUUAUGCACCAUUGGAUGAGCCCGCACUUGAUUAGUUUGUUGGUAGGGUAAUGGCCUACCAAGACUAUGAUCAAUAGCUGAUUUGAGAGGAUGAUCAGCCACAUUGGGACUGAGACACGGCCCAAACUCCUACGGGAGGCAGCAGUGGGGAAUCUUGCACAAUGGAGGAAACUCUGAUGCAGCGAUGCCGCGUGAGUGAAGAAGGCCUUUGGGUUGUAAAGCUCUUUCGUCGGGGAAGAAAAUGACUGUACCCGAAUAAGAAGGUCCGGCUAACUUCGUGCCAGCAGCCGCGGUAAUACGAAGGGACCUAGCGUAGUUCGGAAUUACUGGGCUUAAAGAGUUCGUAGGUGGUUGAAAAAGUUGGUGGUGAAAUCCCAGAGCUUAACUCUGGAACUGCCAUCAAAACUUUUCAGCUA
rnacentral:rRNA from 1 species